AGUUUUGCCGGACCACCUGGCCAAGUCGGUUUUAUUCCUUCCUCCCACAGUAGAGCAAGACCACAAAGUUUAGCAGCACCUCGAAGCCAAGUCAGCUCGAUUCCUUACUCCUCAAGUUUAGCAGCACCUCCAAGCCAGGAAAAUGUCCCAUGGUGGUGGUUACCUAAAGGAAAAAUACAAGAUGUGGCAGCAGAUUCAGAGUGGAAAAGUUCCAGACUCCAGACACCCUGUGAUGUGCGUUAGGGACCACUUGCUGCUGCUUCUUCACAUGGCAGUAGACCUAGGAAUAAACAAGUGCUCGGGGGUUACUCACCUUAUCAUCUUUCUUCGGAGGAGA